rfam:Cryptococcus amylolentus CBS 6039 supercont1.10, whole genome shotgun sequence.
GCCCCCGUGGCGCAAUCGGUAGCGCGCACGACUCUUAUCGAGUCUGCUUGAACCGGUUACGGGCCAUCAGUUAAUCGUGCGGUUGCGGGUUCGAGCCCCGCCGGAGGCU